AAGAGGUGUUUGUACACCAAGAACUGCUAAUUCUUACCACUGAAGUUAAAUUCCUCAGACCUCUU
rnacentral:tRNA from 1 species